UACGAAGGGGGCUAGCGUUGCUCGGAAUCACUGGGCGUAAAGGGUGCGUAGGCGGGUUUUUAAGUCAGGGGUGAAAUCCUGGAGCUCAACUCCAGAACUGCCUUUGAUACUGAAGAUCUUGAGUCCGGGAGAGGUGAGUGGAACUGCGAGUGUAGAGGUGAAAUUCGUAGAUAUUCGCAAGAACCCCAGUGGCGAAGGCGGCUCACUGGCCCGGUACUGACGCUGAGGCGCGAAAGCGUGGGGAGCAAACAGG
rnacentral:rRNA from 1 species